rnacentral:rRNA from 1 species
AUCCUUCACUGCUCGGAUGGUCCCCCCCGUUGCAUUAGCUUGUUGGUGGGGUUACGGCUCCCCAUGGGGAUUGAUUCGUAGCCGGCUUGAGAGGGUGAUCCCCCCCCUGGGACUGAGACCCGGCCCCGACUCCUACGGGAGGCACCCCUAGGGAAUCUUCCGCAAUGGACGGCAGUCUGACCGCCCACCGCCCGCCUGAGUGAAAAAAGGUCUUCGGAUCUUAAAACUCUGUUGUACGAGGAGAACGAGUGUUAGAGUAAAAAGUUGCUCGCUUGGGCGGUUUCCUCCCGAAUAGCGCCGGCUAACUUCGUGCCAGCAACCCCGUUAAUACGGGGGUCCCGAGCGUUUUUCGGAUUUUUUGGGCGUAAAGCGCGCGCAGGCGGUUUGAUAAGUCAGAAGUUAAAUCCCCGGGCUUACCCCGAGUGCCCUUUGGAAACUGGGCAACUUGAGUGCAAGAGGGGAGAGUGGAAUUCCCCGUGUAGGGGUGAAAUGCGUAGAUAUUUGGAGGAACUCCCGUGGCGAAAGCGGCUCUCUGGGUCGUAACUGACCCUGAGGCUCGAAAGCGUGGGGAGCAAACCGGAUUUGAUACCCUGGUAGUCCCCGCCGUAAACUUUUAAUGGCUAGGUGUUGGAGGGCUCUUUCCCGGGCUUCAGUGCCGCAGCUAACGCAUUAAGCCGCUCCCGCCCUGGUGAGGGCCCC